rnacentral:rRNA from 1 species
AACUCCGUGCCAGCAGCCGCGGUAAUACGGAGGAUCCGAGCGUUAUCCGGAUUUAUUGGGUUUAAAGGGAGCGUAGGCGGGUUGUUAAGUCAGUUGUGAAAGUUUGCGGCUCAACCGUAAAAUUGCAGUUGAUACUGGCGACCUUGAGUGCAACAGAGGUAGGCGGAAUUCGUGGUGUAGCGGUGAAAUGCUUAGAUAUCACGAAGAACUCCGAUUGCGAAGGCAGCUUACUGGAUUGUAACUGACGCUGAUGCUCGAAAGUGUGGGUAUCAAACAGGAUUAGAUACCCUGGUAGUCCACACAGUAAACGAUGAAUACUCGCUGUUUGCGAUAUACAGUAAGCGGCCAAGCGAAAGCAUUAAGUAUUCCACCUGGGGAGUACGCCGGCAACGGUGAAACUCAAAGGAAUUGACGGGGGCCCGCACAAGCGGAGGAACAUGUGGUUUAAUUCGAUGAUACGCGAGGAACCUUACCCGGGCUUAAAUUGCAAAGGAAUAAUCUGGAAACAGAUUAGUCUUCGGACCUUUGUGAAGGUGCUGCAUGGUUGUCGUCAGCUCGUGCCGUGAGGUGUCGGCUUAAGUGCCAUAACGAGCGCAACCCUUGCCGAUAGUUACUAACAGGUUAUGCUGAGGACUCUGUCGGGACUGCCAUCGUAAGAUGUGAGGAAGGUGGGGAUGACGUCAAAUCAGCACGGCCCUUACGUCCGGGGCUACACACGUGUUACAAUGGGGGGUACAGAGGGCUGCUACCACGCAAGUGGAUGCCAAUCCCAAAAACCUCUCUCAGUUCGGAUUGAAGUCUGCAACCCGACUUCAUGAAGCUGGAUUCGCUAGUAAUCGCGCAUCAGCCACGGCGCGGUGAAUACGUUCCCGGGCCUUGUACACACCGCCCGUCAAGCCAUGGGAGCCGGGGGUACCUGAAGUGCGUAACCGCGAGGAGCGCCCUAGGGUAAAACUGGUGACUGGGGCUAAGUCGUAACAAGGUAGCCGUACCGGAAGGUGCGGCUG